rnacentral:rRNA from 1 species
GUAGUCCACGCCCUAAACGAUGUCAACUAGUUGUCGGGUCUUCAUUGACUUGGUAACGAAGCUAACGCGUGAAGUUGACCGCCUGGGGAGUACGGUCGCAAGAUUAAAACUCAAAGGAAUUGACGGGGACCCGCACAAGCGGUGGAUGAUGUGGAUUAAUUCGAUGCAACGCGAAAAACCUUACCUACCCUUGACAUGGAUGGAAGCCUGGUGAGAGCCGGGUGUGCCCGAAAGGGAGCCAUCACACAGGUGCUGCAUGGCUGUCGUCAGCUCGUGUCGUGAGAUGUUGGGUUAAGUCCCGCAACGAGCGCAACCCUUGUCCCUAGUUGCUACGCAAGAGCACUCCAGGGAGACUGCCGGUGACAAACCGGA